AGUUUAUAUACUGUGAUGAGGUGGCUGAGUGGUGAAGGCGAUGGACUGCUAAUCCAUUGUGUUCUGCCCGCACGGGUUCGUAUCCCAUCCUUGUCACCAAACAAGCUCAAAGUCCAGUUGUAGGAGAACGUAGGGUAGUCAAGCUUCCAGGACUACAGACACAUCCAAGUGAGAUGCAGCACGUGGCCGUGGCUUUACUG
rnacentral:sRNA from 14 species